rnacentral:lncRNA from 1 species
AUUAAUCCCGGUCUCUUAGCCGGGGUUCUUAACCCAUGAUUUGACACUUUUUUAUUUUUUUUUACAUUUUUCGGCUAAAAGACGACUUUUAUAUCUCUUAUUUAAUAGACAGUUCUUAACUUUUCUUAGUUUUGGUUCUUAAGUUAAGAACCGUCUUUUAGCCGAAGCUAAAAACUUCAGUUCAGAGACUGGGAUUAAUCAUGGUCUAAGCGAAUCAAAGUACCCGAGUUGCUAUCAAAUGACUCGUCUCCAG